GAGGCCUUUCAUCAAAAGUGCAGCCAGUGCUUUUGCAACAAGGAUGUGGAUUGACAGCAGAGGAACAGCUGCCUCAGCAAAAGGGAGGCUUUCAUUAAGACAGCAGCACAGGAGCAUGUACAUUACCUCCCAGAAAUAAUCUAAACCCCAAGCUCUAUGACGCUCUGUGAAGCCAUCUAUUUUUUCAAGCAGCCUAAUAUCACAGCAUUGGCCUGAAAUGAAAGUGAGAACAUCACAUUACAGUUCUACAUAGAGGCUUCUGUGAGUUCAUACCAAAAACAACUAAAGAACAUCAAACACACCAGUGACCGUGGACAGAUUCAAAAGCACCAUUUUGUUCCUACCUGGUAAAAUCAUAAAUACUGCA